rnacentral:rRNA from 2 species
UAAGCGGAGGAAAAGAAACUAACAAGGAUUCCCUUAGUAACGGCGAGUGAACCGGGAAGAGCUCAAAUUUGAAAUCUGGCGUCCUCCGGGCGUCCGAGUUGUAAUCUAUAGAAGCGUUUUCCGCGCCGGACCGUGUAUAAGUCUCCUGGAACGGAGUAUCAAAGAGGGUGACAAUCCCGUGCUUUACACGAUGACCGGUGCUAUGUGAUACGUUCUCUACGAGUCGAGUUGUUUGGGAAUGCAGCUCAAAACGGGUGGUAAACUCCAUCUAAAGCUAAAUAUUGGUGGGAGACCGAUAGCGAACAAGUACCGUGAGGGAAAGAUGAAAAGCACUUUGGAAAGAGAGUUAAACAGUAUGUGAAAUUGUUGAAAGGGAAACGAUUGAAGUCAGUCGUGUCCAUUGGGUUCAGCCGGUCCUGCCGGUCUACUCCCUUUGGACGGGUCAACAUCAGUUCUGACCGGCGGAUAAUGGCACGAGGAACGUGGCACCCUCCGGGGUGUGUUAUAGCCUCGCGUCGCAUACGCUGGUCGGGACUGAGGAACGCAGCUCGCCUUCAUGGCCGGGGUACGCCCACGUACGAGCUUAGGAUGUUGACAUAAUGGCUUUAAACGACCCGUCUUGAAACACG